UGGAAAUAAUACCAGAGCGGACGAAAGUUAUUUAUGUCAAUCAAAAAUACUUUUAUAAUUUAAGCCUUGAGGUAAAGAAAUAUAGCAGAACCAGCCCAUACUACUAUAACGUGGAUGUGACGACCAAACAACCAUGGACUAACAACGUUACGUUGCACAUCAGUUUUAAUGAGUACGUCCAGAACGAGUAUCGUAGUUCAUUUAUUGAGCUGCAUCGAAAGUUCUGUGACUUAAUGAAAUUCGACAAAAUUAUUGGAAAUAUGAUCAAAUAUUUCGGAAUAGAUUGCCCGUUGCCAGCUGGUACGCUGAGAUUGAUCAACGUAACAGUAGUUCUAAACACACUUCCAAACGUGUUUCCAUUUCAAAAAUGUCGCAUUGCCACUGAAGUAAAAAUCACUGCUACAAAUGAAUCAAUGACCGUGUUUCAUAAUUACGUUACAUUUAAAGAUACGAA